GACGAACGCUGGCGGCGUGCCUAAUACAUGCAAGUCGAACGCUGAAGGAGGAGCUUGCUUCUCUGGAUGAGUUGCGAACGGGUGAGUAACGCGUAGGUAACCUGCCUGGUAGCGGGGGAUAACUAUUGGAAACGAUAGCUAAUACCGCAUAAUAGUAGAUGUUGCAUGACAUUUGCUUAAAAGGUGCAAUUGCAUCACUACCAGAUGGACCUGCGUUGUAUUAGCUAGUUGGUGGGGUAACGGCUCACCAAGGCGACGAUACAUAGCCGACCUGAGAGGGUGAUCGGCCGCACUGGGACUGAGACACGGCCCAGACUCCUACGGGAGGCAGCAGUAGGGAAUCUUCGGCAAUGGACGGAAGUCUGACCGAGCAACGCCGCGUGAGUGAAGAAGGUUUUCGGAUCGUAAAGCUCUGUUGUAAGAGAAGAACGAGUGUGAGAGUGGAAAGUUCACACUGUGACGGUAUCUUACCAGAAAGGGACGGCUAACUACGUG
rnacentral:rRNA from 1 species